UACGUAGGGUCCGAGCGUUGUCCGGAAUUACUGGGCGUAAAGAGCUCGUAGGUGGUUUGUCGCGUUGUUCGUGAAAACUCACAGCUUAACUGUGGGCGUGCGGGCGAUACGGGCAGACUUGAGUACUGCAGGGGAGACUGGAAUUCCUGGUGUAGCGGUGAAAUGCGCAGAUAUCAGGAGGAACACCGGUGGCGAAGGCGGGUCUCUGG
rnacentral:rRNA from 1 species